UCAAUAAGCGGAGGAAAAGAAACUAACAAGGAUUCCCCUAGUAGCGGCGAGCGAAGCGGGAAGAGCUCAAAUUUAUAAUCUGGCGCUUUCAGCGUCCGAGUUGUAAUCUCUAGAAGUGUUUUCCGCGUUGGACCGCACAUAAGUCUGUUGGAAUACAGCGGCACAGUGGUGAGACCCCCGUUCACGGUGCGGAUGCCCAAUGCUUUGUGAUACACUUUCGAAGAGUCGAGUUGUUUGGGAAUGCAGCUCAAAUUGGGUGGUAAAUUCCAUCUAAAGCUAAAUAUUGGCGAGAGACCGAUAGCGAACAAGUACCGUGAGGGAAAGAUGAAAAGCACUUUGGAAAGAGAGUUAACAGUACGUGAAAUUGUUGGAAGGGAAACGCUUGAAGUCAGACUUGCUAUUCGGGGCUUGCUCCGAGUUGCAGGCCAGCAUCAGUUUUUCGGGGCGGAAAAUCACGGAUUGAAGGUAGCAGUUUCGGCUGUGUUAUAGCUUUCCGUUGGAUACGUCCUGGGGGACUGAGGAACGCAGUGUGCUUUUAGCGAGGGCUUCGGCUCUUUCACACUUAGGAUGCUGGUGGAAUGGCUUUAAACGACCCGUCUUGAAAC
rnacentral:rRNA from 1 species